rnacentral:rRNA from 1 species
UGCCCAGACUCCUACGGGAGGCAGCAGUGAGGAAUAUUGGUCAAUGGGCGCGAGCCUGGACCAGCCAAGUCGCGUGAGGGAUGACGGCCCUACGGGUUGUAAACCUCUUUUGUCGGGGAGCAAAUUCCGUUACGUGUAACGGAGUCGAGAGUACCCGAAGAAAAAGCAUCGGCUAACUCCGUGCCAGCAGCCGCGGUAAUACGGAGGAUGCGAGCGUUAUCCGGAUUUAUUGGGUUUAAAGGGAGCGUAGAUGGGUUGUUAAGUCAGUUGUGAAAGUUUGCGGCUCAACCGUAAAAUUGCAAUUGAUACUGGCAGCCUUGAGUACGGUUGAGGUAGGCGGAAUUCGUGGUGUAGCGGUGAAAUGCUUAGAUAUCACGAAGAACUCCGAUUGCGAAGGCAGCCUACUAAACUGCCACUGACAUUGAUGCUCGAAAGUGUGGGUAUCAAACAGGAUUAGAUACCCGAGUAUUA